GCACAGGAGGGGAUUCCCCCUGCCAACCCCAAGCAGGACCGUGGCACACGUGUACCGGCUGUGCUGGGGGAGCCGGCUGGGCAGAGACGCCAGCUGACGUCAUCAGCCCGCACCCCGGAGGAAAGGGGGUGGGGCUAGAGUUGGAGGGGGAUUCAAAAAGCAGGGACGCUAGCCAGGAGAGGAGGAAACCGGAGAAGCAGGAAGGGGUAAGGGGCCGAGAACAGGAACCUGGGGGGGAGGGGGGAGCCCACGCCGACUUCGGUGGACUGGUGAGCGGCGGGCUGAACCCUGCCCCGGAGGAGAACGCCCCAGCGGUCAGGGAGAACCCCGAGCCGAAACCUGGAGAGAGAGACUGGUUUUAAACGCGUGCUUUCCCAAGCCAAAGAAGAAACUUCAUUGCCAGACAAGAGACACAGGAAUAGAAAGAACUGGAAGCAAACCCAGAGACUCAUGAAGGGGUACAAGAUCAGACUGAAUGAAAUUGCAUUCGGGAAUAUGUGAAUUACCUUCCUACUGUAGCACAGAACUAUAAGCAGUAGGAAGGAAAUUAUUUUCAGAAAGGUUACAGAUAGACUACUAAUUUGUUGACUAAUGUAGAGCAGUCUAGAAUAUAGAGUUUGUGUGGUCCAAUGGUUAGAGCACAGAACAAAGUCUGGUUCUAAUCCCAGCUGACAUGUUGAAUCACUGUGUGACCUUAAGGAAGUUACUAGGUCAUCUUAUGUCUUCAUCAACUUGAUGUAAAAUUGGAUAAAAAACAGGACUUGGUUGAAAACCAGAUGUGCAUCUGAUAUGAGUCUUCCUAGGUAAAUAAAUUACUGAAAACUUAUGCAGAACAACAAGAACUUGA